AUAGAAGAAAACCGGUUUUAUUUCUUCCAAAAUAUUGCUCUGUGAAUUUGAAUCGGGGAACACGGGCUGAGAGUACAUUUAGCCCCUUAUUAGUUUAAGAAUCUGAAUCGUCACCUGGGUGGCGCUGACGAAAACAGGAUUCCAGCCCUUUUAUUUCAAAUCUCUGGAUGCAAAAACAAUAAGGAGGAAAUGAAAGUGGAAGAGACCAUAAGCAUAUGAUCGGAGAAGCCAGGUGUAGAGCCCAGCUCACUGGUGACGCUGAGGAGGAUAAUUAGCCGGCUAGAAUUACAUGGUGAUAAGUAUGAUGCUUCUUCCAUAAUACAUUCGGAUGUUUUCAGCUAAGUUCACUUCUGAAGUAUGGGGUUUCUUCAAAUGUUGGCUGAAAUUUGUCCUUGCGCAUCAUCCACGCUCACCUACAAAACGUGCCCUUCAUAAUGGAGCUACUGUACUGGCUGUUGGAAGGAGGAGAUUCUGAAGAGAGAGAGGCUGGCAGCAGCUCAGAAUCGCCGGCUGCAGCAAUUCUGGAAGAACAGAUCACAGAGGAAGAAGAGACACCUCCGAGGACGAACAGAUCACAGAGGACAUCUAUUUGGUCCAUUGCCUUCGCCGCUGAGGUGAAAAUGUGGUGAAAGAAGAAAGAUCAGUAACACCAGUUACCCGGCCAGCAGGAUGCAACCGUCUUGAUGGUGAAUCAAGCAAGUGAACAGUUAUGUGCAGCUGGUAGAAGCUGCGCUUUCUACAGACGAGCAUGGAAUGCCGUAAAAUCGCCAAAGCAAACCCCUGAUUGGAUUGGGCAUGAGUGAAGCAGGAAGGUCCUAGCAGCCCCGGCCAGUGUCUUCAAGCCGAGUUAAUUCAGGGGCUUUGUUCCCAAUAAAUCUCCUAACUCUGCUGUCUGAGGACCCAGAGGCCAUCCAAUGUGUGCUUGGGGAAAGGUCAAGCGGUGAAGGCUCAGCAGGAACUCAAUGGGUGUCUGAACAAACGUGGGAUGAGAAUGGGUGAAACCAGCAAAACAGGACGUCUGUCACGCGGACAUUUCCUCCGUCAUCACACUUUCUCCCAGUGCUGUGAGGAACAAGGAAACAAAGCUUCAUUCAUUUGAGAAAAUGCUGGGAAGACCUCCUCAAUCUGGUGUCAAUGGAAAUAAGAUGUUUCACCCCCUCAGCAGGUUCCUGGGAAGCCCGAGCUCAGGCACUGAAAAGACUGUUUCAUCUACGAGUUGCCAUGACAUCGGCCGCACGAAGCUUGCUUAACUGGAUCCUUAACUGCUGCCAUCAGAACCGAGACCAGGACACGCUCCCCCCAGGAUCCGCUCCCUGGUCUAGCAGGUGGCAGCUCACCUGAGCUCCCUGUGAGCUUAGAUCCACAGCGGGUGGAAGUCCUGGAGAGAGGAAGAGGGCGAGGGAAGGCCCCUGAGAGGGGGAGAUGCGUCCCCGCUAAGGCUCGCAUGUCCAGUCAAAGAAUCAAGGUACAAGGCAUUACCAUUUCAAAAAGAGCUUGUCUAACACAUUGGAAUUUUAAACCACGAUUCCUGAAGAGGUGGCUAAUCCCUUUCCAAACUUUGAUCUACUCUCGUGAUAGCUUUGGGUCUUGGUUUCUCUGUUUCACUUUUGAACUGUUUAGAAAUGAUAACAGAGGGUCCAAGGGUGCCUGGACCCCGCCCAUUCUGCCUCCUACCAGCCUGCAGUUCAGUUUUCAGACAUCUUUUAAACUGGGUUAGACAAAGCUAGCAUGAAAAGAAGACCCUAUAAAAUUAAAGAAACGAUAUGAAGAUAAAGGCGA